rnacentral:lncRNA from 1 species
UCUCUCUCCCCCCUCGUGUCUGCAAAAAUCCCUUUUCUAAUCCUGCUAUUCUCUUUCUCUAGCAUCGACGCCGUCUCCAAAUCCCACCUCUCUCUUUCUCUCGCAUCAACAUCAUCUCCAAAUCCUCAGCUUCCUCGGGUCAACCUCCGCGUCUUGUUCGAUGGCUUCUGUCAUCUCUACGAUCUCUGCUUCGGAUGUGGGGGGGCC